UACGUAGGGGGCAAGCGUUGUCCGGAAUCAUUGGGCGUAAAGCGCGUGUAGGCGGCCCGAUAAGUCCGCUGUGAAAGUCCAGGGCUCAACCCUGGGAUGCCGGUGGAUACUGUCGGGCUCGAGUCCGGAAGAGGAGUGUGGAAUUUACGGUGUAGCAGUGAAAUGCGUAGAUAUCGUAAGGAAGACCAGUGGCGAAGGCGAGUCUCUGGACAGUUCCUGACGCUGAGGCACGAAGGCCAGGGGAGCAA
rnacentral:rRNA from 1 species